UUUAACUGAAAUCCUAAAGUCAUUAAUCCAAACAGUUAUUUUUAAUAAGUUUUGUCUUUUCUGUAGGAAGAAGAGAAACUUCAACACACUCGAGGAAAACAGACACAACACCUUCAUUAGAACCACCUCAGAGUAAAACAACAAACUCUUCACCUGCAUCAUCCUCAACAGCACUGGAACAAGAUAAACAGCAAACACACAGCAGCCUCCCUCUAGUUUUCGGCAUUCUGGCAGUUUUCCUGUUGGUGAUACCUGGAGUAGUGGCAUUUAUUUGUUGGAGACGCAAAGGAGGAAGAUGUGGAGAGAACGUGAUCACUGAAGGACGUCCGGACUGUAAGAGAAAGCAGAAGGAUCAGACUGAACCUGAUGUUACUUACUCUACUGUAACCCACGUGAACACAGCCGGAGCAGCACGGGUCCAGAUCAACGCUGGACACAAAACUGAAUAUGCCAGCAUUCUAACAAACUAAUCCACAGUAAAUAUCUAGAAUAAUACUGAAUACAUACAGUAUAUUAAAUACACACCAUAGUAAGCACAGGAUUCAUAGUAUUGGCUUUGUUUAUUUUACUGUGGCUUUUUUUUUAUUAUUAUUUGACCAUUAAUAGCAAAUUUAAUCAUAUUUGUGUGCUGAUGGAUAAUCCUGCAAAUUAUAUUUUUAAUGUUUGUGUCAUUUAUUAUAAUUUAUUUUGUGUCAUUUGUUUUUUUAAUUUACAUUUGUGGCAUUUGGCAGACGCCCUUAUCCAGAGCAACUUACAUUUAUCUCAUUUAUACAACUGAGCAGUUUGAGGGUUAAGGGCCUCGCCCAAGAGUCCAACAAUGGUAGCUUGGCAGUGCUGGGGCUUGAACUCCUGACCUUCUGAUCAGCAAUCCAGAGACUUUAACCACUGAGACACCACUUAUAUGUUCUAGAAAACUUUUGUCAUCACCCUGUUUUGCAUAAGACGACUGCCGUAGAAGUUCUUGUUUGUGACUGUCGUGGGAAAGUCUCUAUGGACUGAAUGUGUGUUUCUAAACUAGUUGUGGUGAAAUUGUUGUGAAAACAGUACCUGUAGCAUGUUAAAGGGUGCAUGAUAGUGUGCUUGUUGAGUGUGGAGUAUCACACAGUAUUCUCUGUGCAUUGCACAACUUUCAUUAACUUUGAGAAAGAGGAAGUAGCCAUUUUGCCAUCAGUCCCCACUGCCCUGGCCACAAUCUUAUGGUACCUCUGACAUGCUGAGUGUCUCACAGUGGCUCUGAAGUACCAUGAGAAUGCUGGUUAUGAACGCAGCUGUGGUUUUAUAAACUGCUAAUAUUUUUCAGAGGCGUGUGUAUGACCUUGCAACAAAGUCAUAAAGUGACAUGAUUGUAAUUUAGCAUCCUGUAUAAUCUUAUAAAGAGGGGCCUUAAAGGACUGUAGCACAUGUGAGGAGGGGAAUUGCUGUUACACCUGCUGUCAGUCCUUAAUAAUGUCUGCCACUUGUCAGAGUGGCAGUGAACCAGCCUCAUGCUGAUGAAUUGUGCAGCUUGUUCCACUGUGAGACCAAGUGCUGGAAAUAGACAUCGCGCAUAAACCACUGACAUGAACCGCUGACAUGAACCAAUCCUGUGGUUGCAUGGCAUAGAUUACAUCUGACACCCUUAGCAGUCAGUGUUUUAGCACAGAGCAAAUCUCACUUUGCCUGGAACAUAGCAUCCUCUUUUCCAUAAAGAGAAGAAGAGAAGAAAACAUAUGGACUUUGGCUUAUAUACAGCAUGGUGUAGCUAUAGGGUUAAUUAAUUUAUUUAUUAAUUCCUCUUCAGUAACUGUUUUAUCCUGGUCAGUGUUGUCAUGGAUUCGGACUCUAUCCCAGCAACACUGGGCACAAGGUGGGAGAGUUCAGAUGGGACGCCAGUCCAUCUCAGAGCACCAUUCACACACUUUCACAGCUGGGGGCAAUCUAACAUAGUAAACCUGCAUGUUUUUGGACAGUGGGAGGAAACUGCACACACACACACACAAGGAGGACGUGCAAACCUCUGCACAGACAUUAACAUGAUUUCAUUUUCACCUUUUAAUGAUCCAUAAGGAUCUUGUUGACUGCACAGUCAUGUCUACACUUUUUUAUUUUGUGUUCAUGUCAUAUUCUAAGUCUUCCAGGCAUCUCACCAGGUCUAAACAUUUUUUUAAUGUUUUCUUUACAUUAAGUUUCUCGCUCUUCUUGGUUUUGCUUGUGCACACACUUCUUAAAUAAUAUAAUAUUCUCAUCAUUUGAAGAUAUAUUAAAGCUUUUACUUGAAAUAUUUGUAAAAUUCCUGUAGCUUGUUUGUAGCUUAUACCUUUUCAUACUAUUGGCAAUGAUAAAAAUAAAUAAAAAAUGACAGUGGAGCAUGAUAUUUGAGAGUUUUAUUGUAGCACAAUCACAUCCCUAAUAUUUUCACAUAAAUAAACACAUUUGAAGCACAGAAUUUUAUCAGAAUCAUAACGGAUUAAAAUUAUGAAACCAACAGCCUCGAAUUUCUGGCUGCAAUAAUUACUGCACACCACCAUUUGUCGCUGCGGUCUCAGUUUUCAAUGCUCCAAAACUUCAGCUCAAUCAGGAAGAAGUAUCAAGAAAUUUUUUUUUAUCAGUUCACCAUUUUGUGAAAUCUUAUUUAUAAA